GUGCAAUCAGGGAGCUCACUGGGUAGGAGGCCUUGAGUGGUGUGGUUUGGCAGGGUAAGGUUUUGGAGCCUCGUACUUGUGUGAAGUCUGGCAGGACCGUUCGUUAUUCCUUCAUGGCAAUGGGAGCAGGAUCCCGCCCUCAGGACUGUAGGGAAGCGGGAGAGAGCUCCAGGAAACAUUGCAGCGUUAUAAGAGAAAUUAUAGACUAUUUGUUGAAGCUCAGCAUGUCCAUCUCCCUGCUUUGAAGAAGGCAAGCUUCAUUAAAACCAACAUCUUACUUGGCCUAAAACAUCUUUGGAGUAGGAGAUUUAUGGCCUUUCUGGGAAAGUAGUUCUAAUUUUUAUAAACCUUAGAAUUAAGAAGUUCUUUUGUAAAUACAAUUAUAAUUCUUUCUUCUCGAUUUUGAGUCAUUUAUUCUUAUUCAAUAUCCAUAAAAGUAAAUAAUUGAAAUACAUAUUUCCUCACCAAAAUUUUAUUAAUUACCUACAUAAUUUAUCUAUUUAGGAAAUGGAAUUAGAAACCUGUACCUUAUAAAAUUGAUGGUGAACAUGAAAUGAGGUAUUAUAUGCAUUAAUUCACUUAUUUAUUAAACAAAUUUAGUUGAGUACCUGCUGUGUACCAGGC
rnacentral:lncRNA from 1 species